rnacentral:rRNA from 1 species
CAUGCAAGUCGAACGGCAGAGCGGGGAGUGUAACUCCCUGGCGGCGAGUGGCGGACGGGUGAGUAAUGCGUAGGAAUCUACCUUAUAGUGGGGGAUAACCCGGGGAAACUCGGGCUAAUACCGCACGAUCUCUACGGAGUAAAGCGGGGGAUCUUAUGACCUCGCGCUAUAAGAUGAGCCUAUGUCGGAUUAGCUUGUUGGUGGGGUAAUUGCCUACCAAGGCGACGAUCCGUAGCUGGUCUGAGAGGAUGAUCAGCCACACUGGGACUGAGACACGGCCCAGACUCCUACGGGAGGCAGCAGUGGGGAAUCUUGGACAAUGGGGGAAACCCUGAUCCAGCAAUGUCGCGUGUGUGAAGAAGGCCUUCGGGUUGUAAAGCACUUUCAGUAGGGAAGAAAUUCUCAAGGGUAAUAUACUUGAAGCGUUGACGUUACCUACAGAAGAAGCACUGGCUAACUCUGUGCCAGCAGCCGCGGUAAUACAGAGAGUGCAAGCGUUAAUCGGAAUCACUGGGCGUAAAGCGCGCGUAGGUGGAUAUUUAAGUCGGAUGUGAAAGCCCUAGGCUUAACCUAGGAACUGCACUCGAUACUGAGUAUCUCGAGUAUGGUAGAGGGAAGUGGAAUUUCCGGUGUAGCGGUGAAAUGCGUAGAUAUCGGAAAGAACACCAGUGGCGAAGGCGGCUUCCUGGACUAAUACUGACACUGAGGUGCGAAAGCGUGGGGAGCAAACAGGAUUAGAGACCCUGGUAGUCCACGCCGUCAACGAUGAGAACUAGCUGUUGGGGAGUUUACUUUCUAGUAGCGAAGCUAACGCGUUAAGUUCUCCGCCUGGGGGAGUACGGCCGCAAGGUUAAAACUCAAAGAAAUUGACGGGGGCCCGCACAAGCGGUGGAGCAUGUGGUUUAAUUCGAUGCAACGCGAAAAACCUUACCUACCCUUGACAUCCUCAGAACUUGUCAGAAAUGGCUUGGUGCCCUCGGGAACUGAGUGACAGGUGCUGCAUGGCUGUCGUCAGCUCGUGUCGUGAGAUGUUGGGUUAAGUCCCGUAACGAGCGCAACCCUUGUCCUUAGUUGCCAGCGAUUCGGUCGGGAACUCUAAGGAGACUGCCGGUGAUAAACCGGAGGAAGGUGGGGAUGAUGUCAAGUCAUCAUGGCCCUUACGGGUAGGGCUACACACGUGCUACAAUGGGCAGUACAAAGGGUCGCUAAACCAUGAGGCGGAGCCAAUCCCAAAAAACUGCUCUUAGUCCGGAUUGAAGUCUGCAACUCGACUUCAUGAAGUUGGAAUCGCUAGUAAUCGCGAAUCAGAAUGUCGCGGUGAAUACGUUCUCGGGCCUUGUACACACCGCCCGUCACACCAUGGGAGUGAAUUGUACCAGAAGCGGGUAGGCUAACCUUCGUGGAGGCCGCUCACCACGGUGUGGUUCAUGA